CCUACGGGAGGCAGCAGUGAGGAAUAUUGGUCAAUGGACGCAAGUCUGAACCAGCCAUGCCGCGUGCAGGAAGACGGCUCUAUGAGUUGUAAACUGCUUUUGUACGAGGGUAAACGCAGAUACGCGUAUCUGUCUGAAAGUAUCGUACGAAUAAGGAUCGGCUAACUCCGUGCCAGCAGCCGCGGUAAUACGGAGGAUUCAAGCGUUAUCCGGAUUUAUUGGGUUUAAAGGGUGCGUAGACGGUUGGAUAAGUUAGAUGGGAAAGCCCGCGGCUCAACUGUGGAAUUGCCUUUGAGACUGGUAGGCUAGAGAAUAGUUGCGGUAGGCGGAAUGUAUGGUGUAGCGGUGAAAUGCUUAGAGAUCAUACAGAACACCGAUUGCGAAGGCAGCUUACCAAGCUACUUCUGACGUUGAGGCACGAAAGCGUGGGGAGCAAACAGGAUUAGAUACCCGGGUAGUC
rnacentral:rRNA from 1 species